UAGAAAUGAUGAAGCCUACCUACCCUUGGA
rnacentral:piRNA from 1 species